GUGUUGCUCACCUGGACAUACAGCUAAGUAUGGAAGCUAUACAUUGAUCGAUGUGGACACACAUCAAGUUUUGGACAUCCAGUUGGUGCAGUCAAAUGAAGUGGCCAAUU